CGGAGGGAUCAUUUACCGAGUUUACAACUCCCAAACCCCUGUGAACAUACCACUUGUUGCCUCGGCGGAUCAGCCCGCUCCCGGUAAAACGGGACGGCCCGCCAGAGGACCCCUAAACUCUGUUUCUAUAUGUAACUUCUGAGUAAAACCAUAAAUAAAUCAAAACUUUCAACAACGGAUCUCUUGGUUCUGGCAUCGAUGAAGAACGCAGCAAAAUGCGAUAAGUAAUGUGAAUUGCAGAAUUCAGUGAAUCAUCGAAUCUUUGAACGCACAUUGCGCCCGCCAGUAUUCUGGCGGGCAUGCCUGUUCGAGCGUCAUUUCAACCCUCAAGCACAGCUUGGUGUUGGGACUCGCGUUAAUUCGCGUUCCCCAAAUUGAUUGGCGGUCACGUCGAGCUUCCAUAGCGUAGUAGUAAAACCCUCGUUACUGGUAAUCGUCGCGGCCACGCCGUUAAACCCCAACUUCUGAAUGUUGACCUCGGAUCAGGUAGGAAUACCCGCUGAACUU
rnacentral:misc_RNA from 1 species